CAGGCAUGCUGGAGUCCCGCCAGCGGCGCCUGGGCGGAUCGGGUUCGGUACCGCCCGACACCGGACGGGACAGAA
rfam:Mesorhizobium sp. B7, complete genome.